rnacentral:tRNA from 1 species
GCACAGUGGUGCAGCGGAUAGCGCUGGUGUCUCUCAACAACUGGGCGUGGGUUCCAUCCCCACCUUGUGCG